rnacentral:lncRNA from 1 species
CCAGCACCUGUCCAGUGAAACAACUUGAUAAUCGUUUCGAGGGGCGUCCGCCGGGUUAGGAAGCCACUGCCUGGCAGCUUGUGGAAGCCUCAUUUGCAAAGCCACCCCUCAGAUGUUUUGAAGAUCGUGACGUCUUGUAACUAGCAGUGUGUGCACAGAAUCCUACUCAAGGAACGUCUUGGCCCAGCGAUGCAAAGAACUGAAGUUUCAAGCUGGAAGAGCCUGUAUUGUCCUCACAAUAGUAUAGAAGAAUUCAAGAGAGGAGAGAGAGACAGCACCGAAUGAAGACUGUAAAAGAAAAGAAGGAAUGCCAGAGAUUGAGAAAAUCUGCCAAGACUAGGAGGGUAACCCAGAGGAAACCGUCUUCAGGGCCUGUUUGCUGGCUAUGCCUUCGAGAACCUGGGGAUCCCGAAAAAUUAGGGGAAUUUCUUCAGAAAGACAAUAUCAGCGUGCAUUAUUUCUGUCUUCUUUUUUGUUUUAAAAUCUAUUUUUAGGCUGGGUGCAGUGGCUCACGCCUGUAAUCCCAGCACUCUGGGAGGCCGAGGCAGGAGGAUCUCUUGAACCCAGGAGUUCAAGACCAGCCUGGGCAACCUUGUCUCUACA